UGUGUAGGCGGUUGUUUAAGUUUGGUGUGAAAUCUCCCGGCUUAACUGGGAGGGUGCGCCGAAUACUGAAUGACUAGAGUGCGGGAGAGGAGAGUGGAAUUCCUGGUGUAGCGGUGAAAUGCGUAGAUAUCAGGAGGAACACCGGCGGUGUAGACGGCUCUCCGGACCGUAACUGACGCUGAGACACGAAAGCGUGGGUAGCAAACAGGAUUAGAUACCCUGGUAGUCCACGCCCUAAACGAUGCAUAUUUGGUGUGGGCAGUUCAUUCUGUCCGUGCCGGAGCUAACGCGUUAAAUAUGCCGCCUGGGGAGUACAGUCGCAAGGCUGAA
rnacentral:rRNA from 1 species